rnacentral:misc_RNA from 1 species
AACCUUAUGGACCUGCGGGCGUAUACCUGCGGAGGGAUCAUCAUCGAAUUCAUAUCCCCCUCCUCUCCCGGAGGGGGACCCAUGAUAAACCCUUCUGUGCACCGUAAACCGUUCACUUUGGCAGGCUUUGGUGGUAAGCGUGAGCUCGCCUCCAACCUCGCGUUCCUCCCUCACUUGAGGGCGUUACGCGUGGCGGCCUGCCGGAGUCCUAUUAAAAAACUCGUUUUCGAACACGUCUGA